CAUGGCGAUGUUUAUAAAUUGCACCGAGCUGGAGGAGGGUGUCUUGUGUAAUGGGACGUUGUACACGAUCCCCGAGGCGCGCCUCACCUUCCAUGACAACAUGUUCUGGGUGUACCUGGCCAUCUACGUUGCUCUGGUGCUCACUGCAGGUCUGAUGUCAGGACUGACCAUGGGCCUGCUGUCACUGGACAUGAUGACCCUCAAAAUCCUGAAGGACGGGGGCACGACGCGAGAACAGAAGUAUGCUCGAAGGAUACUGCCCAUUGUAAAACGACAUCAUCUGUUGCUGGUGACUCUGCUGCUGGCUAAUGCUGCUGCCGUUGAAGCUAUGCCCAUCUUCUUAGACCGUAUCUCCGACCCAGUCAUCGCCAUUUGUGUCUCAGUUACUGCAGUUCUCAUCUUUGGAGAAGUUGUGCCACAGGCCCUGUGUACAAGGUUCGGUUUGGCGAUCGGCUCAACUCUUGCUCCGUUAGUAUAUAUCCUGAUGGGGCUGUCCUUCAUCGUGAGCUGGCCGCUGUCCAAGCUCCUGGACUGUCUCCUUGGCAGCAACCACAGCACAUUCUUCAGGCGUGCACAGUUGAAGGUCCUCGUGGACCUGCAUGGACCUGGGGAUGGAUCCGGGGAUGAAGAACAUCUCACAACGGAUGAAGUCCUAAUGAUCAAGGGAGCUCUGGACCUGAAGGGUAAAUCUGCAAAGGAUGCCAUGGUGAACAUUGACAAUGUCUUCAUGAUCAGCUCCAAUGCCUGCAUGGACCACAACACCAUGACACAGAUCCUGUUUCACGGACACUCCCGAAUACCAGUGUAUGAGGAGUCUCGAUCGCAGAUCAAAGCUGUGCUGCUGAUGAAGACCUUGAUCAAGCUGGAUCCAGAUGAUGCUGUUCCGGUCAGCAGCCUCUUGCUUGACCCACAGUACUUCCGCCCGGUCAUCUUUAUUGAUGAUGUUAAGCCUCUGCAUGAUCUCAUCAAUCUCUUCCAGACUGGCAAAGGUCACUUGGCUGUAGUGCAGAAAUCCCAUCAGGGGAGACAACUGCGUGGUCUGCAGGACAACACUGAUGACGUAACCCCGUUGUUGGGAGAGUCUCAAGAUGACCCACAGCAUGACAGUCCACAGCAAGUAGGGGAGGUGGUGGGGAUCAUCACGCUAGAGGAUGUUCUAGAGGAGCUCUUGCAGGAAGAGAUCAUGGAUGAGACGGACGAAACACAGAUCCGUCAACGGAUACAGCUGGCUAAAGCAAUGGCGCACAAAAAGUCACUGCUGAAGCGGAGUCAGUCCCAUCCAGAAGAGUCAAGGGGUCAAAUCCAGGCCGGACAAAGCCUAGCUGGACAUUCAAGUGAACAUUUGAAUGUGGAUGUUGCCGUAGCAGCUUCACAACGAUCCGAUGAUGCUCCACUGCUGGGGAGUACGGAGGUGUUGGCGUGAUGAAUGAUACAUUGAAAAGGAAUGUGUGAGUGUCGGUGUGACUGCUCUAAGGGGUGUGGAUGUAAGUGUUGGUGUGACAAGUGGGUUAUACACAGCUCUAGGGGGUGGGGCUAUAAGUGUUGGGGUGACAAGUGGGUUAUACACAUCUCAAGGGUGUGUGGCUGUACGUGUUGGUGUGGCAAGUGGGUAAUAGACAGCCCUAGGGGGUGUGGCUGUAAGUGUUGGGGUGACAAGUGGGUUAUACACAGCUCUAAGGGUGGGGCUAUAAGUGUUGGUGUGACAAGUGGGUUAGACCCAGCUCUAGGGGGUUUGACAGUGUUGGGGUGACAAGUGGGUUAUAAAAAUCUGCGGCAUGUGUGGCUGUUAGUAUUAGUUUGACAGAUCUGACACAGAACCCUGGGAUGUGUGACUGUGUUUGUUCUGCACUACACAUAAAAUUAUUGAGAACACAAGCCAUUCAAGAUGUGAGAAUACUUACAACAGGAGCUGUACAAGACAUGAUUAUAUUGAGGUCAUGAGCUGUGCAAGAUGUGAGAAUACUUACAACAGGAGCUGUACAAGACAUGAUUAUAUUGAGGUCAUGAGCUGUGCAAGAUGUGAGAAUACUUACAACAGGAGCUGUACAAGACAUGAUUAUAUUGAGGUCUUGAGCUGUACAAAAUGUGAGAAUAUAUUCAGGACAUGGUUUUGACAAGAUCUGAGGAUCUGAGGUGUACAAUGUGGAGGUCAUGAGCUGUACAAAAUGUGAGAAUAUAUUCAGGACAUGGUUUUGUCAAGAUCUGAGGAUCUGAGGUGUACAAUGUGGAGGUCAUGAGCUGUACAAGAUGCGAGAAUAUAUUCAGGACAUGGUUUUGUCAAGAUCUGAGGUGUACAAUGUGGAGGACAUGAGCUGUACAAUGUUUAAGGAUUCUGAGUAUAAGUUGUUCAGGGUGUUGUAUCUUGGCAUUUAGUUAACUAAAUGUGACUCGCUGCAUCGGAAACUGGAGUCAUGGGCAGUAUUCUGUAGCAAUAUAUUAUUUUGUAUUGAGUGAUAUCAGAUAUAAUGAUAGGUGAUUGUGUGACAGUACAUAUCAAAUGUGGGGCAAACUUGAAAAUACUGAUUGUGGAAUCAAUCUAAUCUUUUGACUAUGUUGAAGGCCCAUUAGCCUUUAAUAAAGCAUACAAUUUUAUGGAUAACAACUUCUUGUUUAUGGCAUAGAGAGAUGUUUCAGUGUAGAUUCUUACACCAUUUUCAAGCUAUAAUUGAAGAUGGUGUAAGAAUCUACACUGAAACAUGGCUCUAUGCAAUAAACAAGAAGUUGUUAUCCAUAUCAUAUGCUUUAUCAUUGACUCAACAACUUGUAGACUACCGAUCAAACAACCAUUAGCCUUUGUUACUUCUUAUUACAUGUAUGUGGGUCCAACUUUUUUGAAAGAAAGAAUGAAAUAAAUGCAUAUUUGUGUUCAAAGAAAUAUUUAGCAAUAUUUGGUAUCUGUAUUGAUGUAAUUGUAAAUUCUAAGCUGUAUCUUGCUGUAUGUUCUCAUGUUUUUUAGUAUGGUGUGUGCCUUCUUUGGGGAUUCCCCAAGUUCAUGGUACUAUGCACAAGAAGUAAACGUUGUCAGCAAGAAGAACACCACUGACGUUAGGAAGGCGGGAACCUUAUUUUAAACUGAUUGUUAGGCUUAGUUAGAACCCAUGAUAUAGUACAUGAUUAUAUUUCUGUGCCCAAUUAAGCAGUUACUGUGUUAGUAGGUGUAUGGAGGUGCUUUGUGUCAAAGUGAUAUAUGAUUCUGUUGUUGAAAUAGAUUUGUGUUGUACUAAGGGAUGUUAUGGAUGACUGUUUUCCAUGAACUCCACUCUACAGAACGUGGUCAGUAGAAGCUCUCAAUAAGACUGAUUGUGUGACGUGGCAGCCAUGUGCUCUAUAUACAACAUGCUAGUCUGUCUCACAGUCCCUGAACCACAUUAUUUUCCCUACUGCCAAGCCCUCUCUGCAGUGCUAAAGCGCUAAAUGAAGCAAGUCUAGAUUUCCUCAUCUUCAAGUAUAAGACAGAUGCAGGUCUUUUCACUUCUAUUGAACAGAUUGUUUCAAAAAUAUCCUCUUUGCAUAUUAUACAAAUGGAAACUUUUGAAUUUAGACAUAAGUUCAAAUUCAUAAAUAAUUUUGUUGGUGUUCCAGAUAGAUCUUGCACCUUGGUCAUCUAGUCUCCAAGUGACAUUGUGGGCUGAAAGUUUCCAAACUGUAAAAUGUUGGAGAUAGGACAGGGCUUAACACGAUGGCCAAUAAAUAUGCCUGUCACUUAUACCGUUAUCUGAUGGUUGUAUGAUAU
rnacentral:misc_RNA from 1 species